rnacentral:rRNA from 1 species
GGUUGAUAUUCCCGUACCCGUGUAUGGGCGUCCCUGAUGAAUCAGCGGUACUAACCACCCAAAACCGGAUCGACCAUUCCCCUUCGGGGGCAUGGAGUUUCGGGGCUGCGUGGGACCUUCGCUGGUAGUAGUCAAGCAAUGGGGUGACGCAGGAAGGUAGCCGUACCAGUCAGUGGUAAUACUGGGGCAAGCCUGUAGGGAGAGCGAUAGGCAAAUCCGUCGCUCAUUAAUCCUGAGAGGUGAUGCAUAGCCGAUUGAGGUGAAUUCGGUGAUCCUCUGCUGCCAAGAAAAGCCUCUAGCGAGCACAUACACGGCCCGUACCCCAAACCAACACAGGUGGUCAGGUAGAGAAUACCAAGGCGUACGAGAUAACUAUGGUUAAGGAACUCGGCAAAAUGCCCCCGUAACUUCGGGAGAAGGGGGGCCGGAAUACCGUGAACACCCUUGCGGUGGGAGCGGGAUCCGGCCGCAGAAACCAGUGGGUAGCGACUGUUUACUAAAAACACAGGUCCGUGCGAAGUCGCAAGACGAUGUAUACGGACUGACGCCUGCCCGGUGCUGGAAGGUUAAGAGGACCCGUUAACCGUAAGGUGAAGCGGAGAAUUUAAGCCCCAGUAAACGGCGGUGGUAACUAUAACCAUCCUAAGGUAGCGAAAUUCCUUGUCGGGUAAGUUCCGACCUGCACGAAUGGCGUAACGACUUCCCAACUGUCUCAACCAUAGACUCGGCGAAAUUGCACUACGAGUAAAGAUGCUCGUUACGCGCGGCAGGACGAUAAGACCCCGGGACCUUCACUACAACUUGGUAUUGGUGUUCGGUACGGUUUGUGUAGGAUAGGUGGGAGACUGUGAAAUACAGACGCCAGUUUGUAUGGAGUCGUUGUUGAAAUACCACUCUGAUCGUAUUGGACACCUAACGUCGAACCCUUAUCGGGUUCACGGACAGUGCCUGGCGGGUAGUUUAACUGGGGCGGUUGCCUCCUAAAAUGUAACGGAGGCGCCCAAAGGUUCCCUCAACCUGGACGGCAAUCAGGUGACGAGUGUAAGUGCACAAGGGAGCUUGACUGCGAGACUUACAAGUCAAGCAGGGACGAAAGUCGGGACUAGUGAUCCGGCACCCCCGAGUGGAAGGGGUGUCGCUCAACGGAUAAAAGGUACCCCGGGGAUAACAGGCUGAUCUUCCCCAAGAGUCCAUAUCGACGGGAUGGUUUGGCACCUCGAUGUCGGCUCGUCGCAUCCUGGGGCUGGAGCAGGUCCCAAGGGUUGGGCUGUUCGCCCAUUAAAGCGGCACGCGAGCUGGGUUUAGAACGUCGUGAGACAGUUCGGUCUCUAUCCGCCGCGCGCGUCAGAAACUUGAGGAAACCUGUCCCUAGUACGAGAGGACCGGGACGGACGAACCUCUGGUAUACCAGUUGUCCACCAGGAGCACGG